rnacentral:misc_RNA from 1 species
CACCUCUAGCAUAAAAAGUAUUAGAGGCAUUGCCUGCCCAGUGACUCCAGUUAAACGGCCGCGGUAUCCUGACCGUGCAAAGGUAGCAUAAUCACUUGUUCUCUAAAUAGGGACUUGUAUGAAUGGCCUCACGAGGGUUUAACUGUCUCUUACUUUUAAUCAGUGAAAUUGACAUUCCCGUGAAGAGGCGGGAAUUAAAAAAUAAGACGAGAAGACCCUAUGGAGCUUUAAUUAACUAAUUUACAAAUUAUAAUAUCAAUCUAUAAGAAAUAAGUAAAAAUUAACUAAAUUAGCAAUUUAGGUUGGGGCGACCUCGAAAUAAAAACUAACUUUCGAGAAAAUUCACUAAGGCCUACAAGCCAAGGUUAUCCAAUCACACAUUGAUCCGCUAUAAGCGAUCAACGAAAUAAGUUACCCUAGGGAUAACAGCGCAAUCCUAUUUAAGAGUCCAUAUCGACAAUUAGGGUUUACGACCUCGAUGUUGGAUCAGGGCAUCCCAAUGGUGUAGCAGCUAUUAAUGUGUUCGUUUGUUCAACGAUUAAAGUCCU